rnacentral:rRNA from 1 species
UACGGGGGGGGUAAGCGUUAUUCGGAUUCACUGGGCGUAAAGGGUGCGCAGGCGGCCAAGUGUGUGAGGCGUGAAAGCCCGGGGCUUAACCCCGGAAUUGCACCUCAAACUACAUGGCUAGAGCAUUGGAGAGGGAAGCGGAAUUCACGGUGUAGCAGUGAAAUGCGUAGAUAUCGUGAGGAACACCAGAGGCGAAGGCGGCUUCCUGGACAAUUGCUGACGCUCAGGCACGAAAGCGUGGGGAGCAAAAGGG